rnacentral:rRNA from 1 species
UGGGGAAUUUUGGACAAUGGGCGAAAGCCUGAUCCAGCAAUGCCGCGUGUGUGAAGAAGGCCUUCGGGUUGUAAAGCACUUUUGUCCGGAAAGAAAUCCUUGGCUCUAAUACAGUCGGGGGAUGACGGUACCGGAAGAAUAAGCACCGGCUAACUACGUGCCAGCAGCCGCGGUAAUACGUAGGGUGCAAGCGUUAAUCGGAAUUACUGGGCGUAAAGCGUGCGCAGGCGGUUUGCUAAGACCGAUGUGAAAUCCCCGGGCUCAACCUGGGAACUGCAUUGGUGACUGGCAGGCUAGAGUAUGGCAGAGGGGGGUAGAAUUCCACGUGUAGCAGUGAAAUGCGUAGAGAUGUGGAGGAAUACCGAUGGCGAAGGCAGCCCCCUGGGCAAUACUGACGCUCAUGCACAAAAGCGUGGGGAGCAAACAGGAUUAGAUACCCUGGUAGUCCACGCCCUAAACGAUGUCAACUAGUUGUUGGGGAUUCAUUUCCUUAGUAACGUAGCUAACGCGUGAAGUUGACCGCCUGGGGAGUACGGUCGCAAGAUUAAAACUUAAAUGAAUUGACGGGGUCAUAGCUG